GAUGAACGCUGGCGGCGUGCCUAAUACAUGCAAGUCGAGCGAAUGGAUUAAGAGCUUGCUCUUAUGAAGUUAGCGGCGGACGGGUGAGUAACACGUGGGUAACCUGCCCAUAAGACUGGGAUAACUCCGGGAAACCGGGGCUAAUACCGGAUAACAUUUUGAACCGCAUGGUUCGAAAUUGAAAGGCGGCAUCGGCUGUCACUUAUGGAUGGACCCGCGUCGCAUUAGCUAGUUGGUGAGGUAACGGCUCACCAAGGCAACGAUGCGUAGCCGACCUGAGGGGGUGAUCGGCAACACUGGGACUGAGACACGGCCCAGACUCCGACGGGAGGCAGCAGUAGGGAAUCUUCCGCAAUGGACGAAAGUCUGACGGAGCAACGCCGCGUGAGUGAUGAAGGCUUUCGGGUCGUAAAACUCUGUUGUUAGGGAAGAACAAGUGCUAGUUGAAUAAGCUGGCACCUUGACGGUACCUAACCAGAAAGCCACGGCUAACUACGUGCCAGCAGCCGCCGCCG
rnacentral:rRNA from 1 species